rnacentral:lncRNA from 1 species
CUGGGAUGUAAUUAAGGAUGAUAUCGUUCGAGGCGACGGACCGACAGCGAUGAGCUCAAAAAUAGGAUAUUUAUUAUCUGGACCACUUACAUGUACAAGAGGACAACGCAAUUCACAUAUGAUGCACAUAUUAUCUAGUCACACAAAAGAGGACUAUGAUAUUGAAAGAUUUUGGAAAUUAGAGUCCCUUGGUAUACAAGAAAACGACAAACUCAACACGGAGAAACAGAACAUCAAGGAAUUUUCAUCAACAUCGAUAACAUAUGAGGAUGGAAAGUACAUUGCAAAACUUCCAUGGAUUGAAGAAUGUCCUGAAUUACAGACAAACGAGAUGAUUGCAAGAGCAAGGACCCAUAGAGUCGUUAACCGCUUAAACCAGGAACCAAACUUAUUCAAAAUAUAUGGCGACAUAAUCAAAGAGCAGGAAAAACGUGGUUUCAUCGAAAAAGUAGGAGAGAAUGAGGACGAGCCACAGCGCAUACACUACAUACCGCAUCACCCCGUCAAGAAAGAUUCUACAACUACUCCGAUUAGAAUUGUGUAUGAUUGCAGUUGUAAAGAGAACGCAAAAAGUCCGAGUUUGAAUGACUGUCUUCAUUCAUAUCCUCCAAUUUCAAAUGACAUAACAGAGCUACUUACCAGAUUUCGUACUCAGAAGUUUGCAGUGACAACAGAUAUUGAAAAGGCAUUUCUGCAAGUUGGACUUCAUAAAUCUGACCGUGAUGUAACUCGCUUCUUUUGGUUAAGUGACCCAACAGAUUCAACCAGUCCGUUUACAACUUAUCGUUUCAAGUCAGUCUUAUUCGGAGCUACAUGCUCACCAUUUAUACUGAAUGCAACUUUAUUAAAACACUUUGAAGAGAAUCCUAGUCCAACAGCUUCAAGAAUUACACAAGACUUGUACGUAGACAAUGUUUUAACUAGUUUAACUGAUGAAGACGACUUAAUGCAAUUUUACCGUGAUUCCAGGUGUUUAUUACAGAAAGGAGGCUUUAAUCUCAGAUCAUGGAACUCUAAUUCUAGUAGACUACGAGAACUUGCUGAAACAGAAAACGUACUAGAUUCCAGUAACGAGGUCAACAUACUUGGAAUGCGCUGGAAUGUUGCGGACGACAAACUUUUAUUUGCCGAAGUAGACAUAGAUUCAACCAUGGUAGAUGUAACAAAAAGAGAAAUAUUACGACAGUCGUCUAAAAUCUUUGAUCCGCUUGGCAUACUUAGUCCCAUGACAGUGAAAGCUAAGAUAUUUAUGCAGUCACUAUGGAAACGUAAUUUUGGAUGGGACGAACGCUUACCCGAAGAUGUAACUACGCAAUGG